rnacentral:piRNA from 1 species
GGACUUGUCAUGGUCUUCACAAAUCCUC